rnacentral:rRNA from 1 species
UACGGAGGGGGCAAGCGUUGUUCGGAAUUACUGGGCGUAAAGCGCGCGUAGGCGGUGCGGUAAGUCAGGGGUUAAAGGCUGCAGCUCAACUGCAGUAAGGCCUUUGAUACUAUCGCGCUAGAGUACCAGAGAGGAUGGCGGAAUUCCCGGUGUAGCGGUGAAAUGCGUAGAGAUCUGGAGGAAUACCGGUGGCGAAGGCGGCCCCCUGGACAAAGACUGACGCUCAGGCACGAAAGCGUGGGGAGCAAACAGG